rnacentral:rRNA from 1 species
GUAGAGCACUCCUACGGGAGGCAGCAGUGGGGAAUAUUGCACAAUUGGGCGCAAGCCUGAUGCAGCCAUGCCGCGUGUAUGAAGAAGGCCUUCGGGUUGUAAAGUACUUUCAGCAGUGAGGAAGGUGGAUAUGUUAAUAGCAUAUUCAUUUGACGUUAGCUGCAGAAGAAGCACCGGCUAACUCCGUGCCAGCAGCCGCGGUAAUACGGAGGGUGCGAGCGUUAAUCGGAAUUACUGGGCGUAAAGCGCAUGCAGGUGGUUUGUUAAGUCAGAUGUGAAAGCCCGGGGCUCAACCUCGGAAUUGCAUUUGAAACUGGCAAACUAGAGUACUGUAGAGGGGGUAGAAUUUCAGGUGUAGCGGUGAAAUGCGUAGAGAUCUGAAGGAAUACCGGUGGCGAAGGCGGCCCCCUGGACAGAUACUGACACUCAGAUGCGAAAGCGUGGGGAGCAAACAGGAUUAGAUACCCUGGUAG